rnacentral:rRNA from 1 species
AGUGAACGCUGGCGGUAGGCCUAACACAUGCAAGUCGAACGGCAGCACAGUAAGAGCUUGCUCUUACGGGUGGCGAGUGGCGGACGGGUAAGGAAUACAUCGGAAUCUACUUUUUCGUGGGGGAUAACGUAGGGAAACUUACGCUAAUACCGCAUACGACCUACGGGUGAAAGCAGGGGAUCUUCGGACCUUGCGCGAUUGAAUGAGCCGAUGUCGGAUUAGCUAGUUGGCGGGGUAAAGGCCCACCAAGGCGACGAUCCGUAGCUGGUCUGAGAGGAUGAUCAGCCACACUGGAACUGAGACACGGUCCAGACUCCUACGGGAGGCAGCAGUGGGGAAUAUUGGACAAUGGGCGCAAGCCUGAUCCAGCCAUACCGCGUGGGUGAAGAAGGCCUUCGGGUUGUAAAGCCCUUUUGUUGGGAAAGAAAAGCAGCAGGUUAAUACCCCGCUGUCCUGACGGUACCCAAAGAAUAAGCACCGGCUAACUUCGUG